AGGUGAAGAGAAAGACUGAAAGAGAAGCUGAAUUUAUUUGACUACUAUUAUUUAUCAGUGCCUUAAAUGGAUCUCCAAUACAGAGUAUAAAUGUAUAAACUCUGGUUAAAUCACCACUAACCACUAACACGCAGGUGUAGGUGUUAAAGGUAUGGACAUCUGAACAGUGGUGCGUUCACAGCUUUGCCUUGUCUAAAGGUGAGUGUGUUUAUUCCACACAGCGGAGGACAAUGCUGCUAAACCACAUCAGUAUAGUUUACACUGUUUAAGCUCAAGCCACACUGGUUCAGGUUCUUAAUUGGACUUCCUGUCACAGACUGGUUUAAUUUCCACACACUUUUUUACGGAUCGGCCAAAUUUAGAAAAGUCUUCCAAAGACUAAAGAGGGGAAACUUUCCAAUUAUAUUCACAGAAUUAUCAAAUUCAUAUUAGAAUUACUACGACACAUGGGGUAAUAGCAACAGUGGCUGUUUUUAGCUAGAACAGCUAAUUGGCUGAUGGAGAGGUCAACAUUUUCUGGUCAUUUCAGUUCAAUUGUUCGUUUAAAUACAGACCCUUUAUUAACUGUGGUGCCUGUUGUUCACCGGAGGUCAGAUCGGUUCCACGCCCCCUAACCUCCCCAGGGAAACUAGGAAAUAAAAUGAACUUUAUGCAUCGGGUAUAUGAAAAGUACAACAAAAUAUGAAGUGCUCACAUUGGAACAUUAAGUUCAUACAUUUCAGUUAUCAGAUUAUAAAUAAAGAUGAAAAGCAGAGACAUAGACAUAGAUGUUCUCAGGUGUGGAGCUGAUAAACAAUGCUUAAUGUUAAAGCCUAUAAUAAGACCUACAACAUUAUAAUCCAUAUAAUUCUAAAAAACAAGAAAAAAAUACCCCCAAAAAACACCAAACAAAAACUUCACACAAGGAAUAUGAAGUACAUUGAAAUGCAGUAUAUGCAAAUGUACAAUUUUACAUGAACUUCUUGUGUUCCCUGCUACAAAUGGUUACGUUUGGUUUCUAUAAACGUUUGUUUUGUUAACAAACAUAGUGGAAUGUGUGGUUUGGCAACUAAAAUGGACUAAGUUUUUUUGAUGUCUUUGAAUGUGUCAUGCCGGUUAUCAGGUGUCAGUUAUUAGCCAAUUAGCGCCUAUCAGAGGUGAGCGUUAACUGUGCAGGGGUGGAACUAAAGACAGAGACGACAAUGGGGGAAAACACAAGUUGUUCCGUUGGAGUUUUGGUUUUGGUUUGUGGGUUUUACGCGCCACGCCGCCGUCGUUAACUGGAAGGAGACUUCGUCAAGUUAUCGAUGUGCCUCGAAGCCUGCAUGUCGGUCUGCAUCCUGCCGCUACGGAUGCUCACCACUGCACACGGAGGGUGAUCGGAACUUCCAGCUACUACCGCUGUACCGCGGAUCUGACUGGUUUCUCCGCCUCGUCUCAGAGUUCCCGCAAAACAGGCUGCUAACCCUGCCUGUGUUUCUACGAAUCAACUCCACGCCCACCUUCCUUCAACUUGAUAGGCUGCAAAUGCCCACAGAGGAUGCCGACUGUGCGUCUCCCACCUCAGAACCUUUUACUGCUUCACAAAAUAUUGAAAAAACACAACAGGGAGUCGGAGAUGGAGAAUCUAAGGCAAUGUUUUUGGCAUCUCUUCAUCCUCACCAGUGUCACCUGCAGAUAAGGUCCAUUCCACACAAAUUGCCUUCAGAUGCUAUUACCCAGAGUUCCAUGUCCUGACCAUAAUUAAGCCCACAAAUUGUCUGAUAAAAGACCUGGAACGCAGCUAGUAUGUGUAUUUAUACAUCUGAAAUCCAACUCUUCUGCAGUUGUAUUUUUGCAUUGGUCUUUGAUUUGGUUUAUUAUAUACUGUAUAUAUAUUGGAGAUACAGCUUCACUUUCUUUCCCAGAAAAGCAACACACAUGAAAGAAAGUGGAUGCAGCACAAUUCAAUGUAUGGCGUUCAACCUACUGAAGUAAACAAGGUCGCCUUCCGUUGAUAGCACCUUGUGACCUCACCAACUAGGUCCAAUGUGAGUUUUAAUGCUCUUUGUUGGAAUGAUAGAACAAGACUUACUAAUACAUUUAUUGGAGAUGGCGACGUAACCACAAAUUGCCGCAAGGACGUCGUAAACUGAGGACCUCCCUUGUUUUAGGUCAGAUUUUUAAGUCAAACUGUCACAGACUAUAUGAUCAACAAAAUACAUUUCCUGUGAAAUAUAUUAUAUAUACAUCCUUGUGCAGUGGGCUGAUACAUUUGUUAUUCUUGUUUGUUAUUCUGUUGUUUUACCUCUAUUGUUGUUUACCUUUUGUUGUCUUUUUCUUUGAAUACUCGUCUCCUAUUCAACAAAGAAUUGUUAAAUUUUUUAUUGUGAACAUAAAAAACAAGUUGUCCUGACACUGAAGCUCACGCUCAUUCAGAACUCGCUCUUGAACAUAGACACCCUUUAUUUCCAACAAUCAGUACUGGAGGGAAUCAUUACAACCCUUUUAAGGAGUGGUUUUGUUAUAAAAUAAAGUGACCCCAAUAUCAGGGGUUCUUCUCCUUUUCCUAGGUUUUCAUCUUGUGUCAGACAGUCAGAAAGUGUAAUCAGUGUUCCACAGUAUUUCACUACGAUUCCUCCAGUGUUAUAAUCACUGAUUC